UACGAAGGGGGCUAGCGUUGCUCGGAAUCACUGGGCGUAAAGCGCACGUAGGCGGAUCUUUAAGUCAGGGGUGAAAUCCCGAGGCUCAACCUCGGAACUGCCUUUGAUACUGGGGAUCUCGAGUCCGGGAGAGGUGAGUGGAACUGCGAGUGUAGAGGUGAAAUUCGUAGAUAUUCGCAAGAACACCAGUGGCGAAGGCGGCUCACUGGCCCGAUACUGACGCUGAGGCACGAAAGCGUGGGGAGCAAACAGG
rnacentral:rRNA from 1 species